UACAGAGGGUGCAAGCGUUAAUCGGAUUUACUGGGCGUAAAGGGUGUGUAGGCGGUUGUUUAAGUUUGGUGUGAAAUCUCCCGGCUCAACUGGGAGGGUGCGCCGAAUACUGAGCGACUAGAGUGCGGGAGAGGAAAGUGGAAUUCCUGGUGUAGCGGUGAAAUGCGUAGAUAUCAGGAGGAACACCGGUGGUGUAGACGGCUUUCUGGACCGUAACUGACGCUGAGACACGAAAGCGUGGGUAGCAAACAGG
rnacentral:rRNA from 1 species